rnacentral:rRNA from 1 species
ACGCACGCUGGCGGCGUGCUUAACACAUGCCAGUCGAACGGAAAGGCCCUGCUUGCAGGGUACUCGAGUGGCGAACGGGUGAGUAACACGUGGGUGAUCUGCCCUGCACUUCGGGAUAAGCCUGGGAAACUGGGUCUAAUACCGGAUAGGAGCCAUUUUUAGUGUGAUGGUUGGAAAGUUUUUUCGGUGUAGGAUGAGCUCGCGGCCUAUCAGCUUGUUGGUGGGGUAAUGGCCUACCAAGGCGGCGACGGGUAGCCGGCCUGAGAGGGUGGACGGCCACAUUGGGACUGAGAUACGGCCCAGACUCCUACGGGAGGCAGCAGUGGGGGAUAUUGCACAAUGGGCGCAAGCCUGAUGCAGCGACGCCGCGUGGGGGAUGACGGCCUUCGGGUUGUAAACUCCUUUCGCUAGGGACGAAGCUUUUUGUGACGGUACCUAGAUAAGAAGCACCGGCUAACUACGUG